AGCCGUUCAAAGUCCUCAACUUUUAAUCUCAGCCGUAUAAAGUCUCUAAAUUCCUUCUAGAAGCAGCAGUUCACGGCAGUUCAGCACUCUCUCACCCAUGAUCUUGCGGUUUCCUGCAGUUUAUCAAGAUGCACCAAUCAGAAAUGCAGGUUGCAAUGCGGUUUAAAAUGUGUUCCUUAUUUUCAGGGACUUAGUGGGGUAGUGGACACUUAACUGCAUAUUUUGGUGGCUAUAUAAUACAAGUUCAGGUAGUGUAAUCUUCUGUCUUUUUUUCGCUUUUCCUGUAUUCAUACAGCAACACAUCUGCAGCAAUGGAUAUCUCGGAUGACUUCGUGGACAUUUAUGAAGACGAUCAGCCUGCAAAGAAACUGGGUUUUGAUGCAAUGACACCGAAGAAGAAUCAAAUAUGCAGCCCAAUGAAAGAUUCUCCGAAGACGGACAGUGGAAGUGUAGAGAUCAUUUCAUAUGGACAG